AGUUUUUUUCUUGACUUUAUAAAAGAGAAUUGCGAAGGAAAAAUAACAUUUGUAUAAUUGCCUUGGAGGCUCUUAGCCUCAGUUAUAAUUCUUCUCCAUCCUGUUCGGUUUAUAGCCUGCCUCUGCCAAUCUUCGAUUCCGAAGUCUUGAAGAUUUUCCGUGACUCCAUCUAUCCACCUUUACCACCAUAGUUCGAAAAUAUUAUUUGUUAAAAUUAUAUUUAGAAACUUGUACUGAUUGUCAAUAUCGCUUUGUUAUAUACUGUGUUAGAUAUUGUUUUCAAUUUUCAAAAUACGGAUGGUAAUUGAUACUUAGAUUAUCAGUUUACAAAUAAAAUAUGAUAAACUAGCUAUAAUAUUAGCUAGUAUUAGAAAAAAUAUUAUAAACUAGCAGAUGAGCUCGGC